GAGUUUGAUCGUGGCUCAGAUUGAACGCUGGCGGCACGCCUAACACAUGCAAGUCGAGCGGUAGCAGGGCUAGUAGCAAUACUAGCUGCUGACGAGCGGCGGACGGGUGAGUAAGACGUAGGAACCUGCCCAAGAGAGGGGGAUAACCAAGGGAAACUUUGGCUAAUACCGCAUAAACUCGGAAGAGAAAAGGAUCCCGCAAGGGUUCCGCUUUUGGAGGGGCCUUCGUCCGAUUAGCUAGUUGGUGAGGUAAGAGCUCACCAAGGCGAUGAUCGGUAACUGGUCUGAGAGGACGACCAGUCACACUGGGACUGAGACACGGCCCAGACUCCUACGGGAGGCAGCAGUGGGGAAUAUUGGACAAUGGGGGAAACCCUGAUCCAGCGAUGCCGCGU
rnacentral:rRNA from 1 species